rnacentral:tRNA from 1 species
GCAGGGGUCGAAUAGUCCGGUCAAUUUCGCCAGGCUUAGGACCUGGUUGCUUAGUGCAUGCGUGGGUUCAAAUCCCACCCCCUGCA